rnacentral:rRNA from 1 species
GACGAACGCUGGCGGCGUGCUUAACACAUGCAAGUCGAACGGCAAGGCCCUGCUUUUGUGGGGUGCUCGAGUGGCGAACGGGUGAGUAACACGUGAGUAACCUGCCCUUUACUUUGGGAUAACUUCAGGAAACUGGGGCUAAUACCGGAUAGGAGCUCCUGCUGCAUGGUGGGGGUUGGAAAGUUUCGGCGGUUGGGGAUGGACUCGCGGCUUAUCAGCUUGUUGGUGGGGUAGUGGCUUACCAAGGCUUUGACGGGUAGCCGGCCUGAGAGGGUGACCGGCGACAUUGGGACUGAGAGACGGCCCAGACGCCUACGGGAGGCAGCAGUGGGGAAUAUUGCACAAUGGGCGGAAGCCUGAUGCAGCAACGCCGCGUGCGGGAUGACGGCCUUCGGGUUGUAAACCGCUUUCGCCUGUGACGAAGCGUGAGUGACGGUAAUGGGUAAAGAAGCACCGGCUAACUACGUG